AAAUUCAUUCCUAUUGGUCGAAGGCCAUGCCCAAUGGGCUUCAAGGAGGCUAUCCGAGGCCUUAUUAGGGAUUAGGGUUUCUCUUUCGAGGUCAUUUGAGCUUUGGAAGCUAGAAUUAGCAAGUUUAGGAUUUUAGAUAUAAUUUGGAUGAAGAGUUUGGGUGAUUUCAAGUUUUUGUGAAGGAGAUAUAGGUGUUCAAAGUUAAGGUGUCAAAUUUAUACCUAUUAUUACUCU
rnacentral:lncRNA from 1 species